rnacentral:rRNA from 1 species
UACGUAGGGGGCGAGCGUUGUCCGGAGUUACUGGGCGUAAAGCGCACGCAGGCGGUCUGCUAAGUUUGGAGUGACAGUUGGUGGCUUAACCGCCAAAGUGCUUCGAAAACUGACAGACUUGAGGGCUUCAGAGGGACACGGAAUUCCGGGUGGAGUGGUGAAAUGCGUAGAGAUCCGGAAGAACACCAGUGGCGAAGGCGGCCCGCUGGGCAGUGGCUGACGCUGAGGCGCGACAGCGUGGGGAGCAAACAGG